rnacentral:rRNA from 1 species
GACGAACGCUGGCGGCGUGCCUAACACAUGCAAGUCGAGCGGGGUUGAGGCGAGAGGUAACUCGAGCUUCUACCUAGCGGCGGACGGGUGAGUAACGCGUGGGCAACCUGCCUCAAGGUUUGGGAUAACAGCCCGAAAGGGCUGCUAAUACCGGAUAUGCCUAUGGCCUCGCAUGGGGCUAUGAGCAAAGGGGAACCCGCCUUGAGAUGGGCCCGCGUCCCAUCAGCUAGUUGGUGAGGUAACAGCUCACCAAGGCGACGACGGGUAGCCGGCCUGAGAGGGUGACCGGCCACACUGGGACUGAGACACGGCCCAGACUCCUACGGGGGGCAGCAGUGGGGGAUCUUGCACAAUGGGCGAAAGCCUGAUGCAGCGACGCCGCGUGAGCGAAGAAGGCCUCGGUUGUAAGUCUCUGUCUGGUAGGGACGGAACGAAAAGUAAGACGGUACCGUACCCGGUACGGGAACGGACCGAACCGGCCGUAACCGUAACCGUUACGGCCUACGCGACGCCGGCCGGUAAACGUACCUAACCGUCGUUACG